UACGUAGGGUGCGAGCGUUAGUCGGAAUUACUGGGCGUAAAGCGUGCGCAGGCGGUUCGUUAAGUCAGAUGUGAAAGCCCCGGGCUCAACCUGGGAACUGCAUUUGAAACUGGCGGGCUUGAGUAUGGCAGAGGGGGGUGGAAUUCCGCGUGUAGCAGUGAAAUGCGUAGAGAUGCGGAGGAACACCGAUGGCGAAGGCAGCCCCCUGGGCCAAUACUGACGCUCAGGCACGAAAGCGUGGGGAGCAAACAGG
rnacentral:rRNA from 1 species